rnacentral:rRNA from 1 species
CGGUGAAUACGUUCCCGGGCCUUGUACACACCGCCCGUCAAGCCAUGGAAGCCGGGGGUACCCAAAGCCAGCGUCCUAACCGUAAGGAGGGAGCUGUUUAAGGUAAAACCGGUGACUGGGGCU